rnacentral:rRNA from 1 species
CUUCCCCUACGGGAGGCAGCAGUGAGGAAUAUUGGUCAAUGGGCUUACGCCUGAACCAGCCAAGUCGCGUGAGGGAAGACUGCCCUAUGGGUUGUAAACCUCUUUUGUCAGGGAGCAAUUGGCGCUACGUGUAGCGUUAUCGAGAGUACCUGAAGAAAAAGCAUCGGCUAACUCCGUGCCAGCAGCCGCGGUAAUACGGAGGAUGCGAGCGUUAUCCGGAUUUAUUGGGUUUAAAGGGUGCGUAGGCGGAAUGCCAAGUCAGCGGUAAAAUUGCGGGGCUCAACCCCGUCGAGCCGUUGAAACUG